rnacentral:tRNA from 1 species
GUUUCCCUAGUAUAAAUAGUACAUCUGACUUCCAAUCAGAAAGCUUGAUUACUAAUCAAGAGAAACA